AUUGAACGCUGGCGGCAUGCUUUACACAUGCAAGUCGAACGGCAGCGCGGGCUUCGUCCUGGCGGCGAGUGGCGAACGGGUGAGUAAUUCAUCGGAACGUGCCCAGUAGUUGGGGAUAGCCCGGCGAAAGCCGGAUUAAUACCGCAUACGACCUGAGGGUGAAAGCGGGGGACCGAAAUGCCUCGCGCCAUUUGCGCGGCCGAUGUCGGAUUAGCUAGUUGGUGGGGUAAAUGCUUACCAAGGCGACGAUCCGUAGCUGGUCUGAGAGCACGACCAGCCACACUGGGACUGAGACACGGCCCAGACUCCUACGGGAGGCAGCAGUGGGGAAUUUUGGACAAUGGGGGCAACUCUGAUCCAGCCAUGCCGCGUGAGGGAAGAAGGCCUUCGGGUUGUAAACCGCUUUUGUUCGGGAAGAAAGUCUCUGGGCUAAUACCCCGGGGGGAUGACGGUAACGGAAGAAUAAGCACCGGCUAACUACGUG
rnacentral:rRNA from 1 species